CCUACGGGAGGCAGCAGUGAGGAAUAUUGGUCAAUGGGCGGAAGCCUGAACCAGCCAAGUCGCGUGAGGGAAUAAGGCCCUACGGGUCGUAAACCUCUUUUGCCGGGGAGCAAGGGCGGGGACGUGUCCCGGCCCGGAGAGUACCCGGAGAAAAAGCAUCGGCUAACUCCGUGCCAGCAGCCGCGGUAAUACGGAGGAUGCGAGCGUUAUCCGGAUUUAUUGGGUUUAAAGGGUGCGUAGGCGGGCUUUUAAGUCAGCGGUAAAAAUUCGGGGCUCAACCCCGUCCGGCCGUUGAAACUGGGGGCCUUGAGUGGGCGAGAAGAAGGCGGAAUGCGUGGUGUAGCGGUGAAAUGCAUAGAUAUCACGCAGAACCCCGAUUGCGAAGGCAGCCUUCCGGCGCCCUACUGACGCUGAGGCACGAAAGUGCGGGGAUCGAAC
rnacentral:rRNA from 1 species